GACGAAGGAUGCAAGCGUUAUCCGGACUCAUUGGGUUUAAAGGGUGCGUAGGCGGACCUGUAAGUCAGUGGUGAAAUCUCUCAGCUUAACUGAGAAACUGCCAUUGAUACUGCAAGUCUAGAGUAUAGAUGACGUUGGCGGAAUAUGACAUGUAGUGGUGAAAUACCUAGAUAUGUCAUAGAACACCGAUUGCGAAGGCAGCUAACGAAACUAUAACUGACGCUGAGGCACGAAAGUGCGGGGAUCAAACAGGAUUAGAUACCCGUUGUACGU
rnacentral:rRNA from 1 species